rnacentral:lncRNA from 1 species
GAGCGCUGAUAUUCACAAGGAUCAGCCUUACUAUGACAUCCCCGACGCCCCCUACCGGAUCACGGUUCCUGACACGUACGAAGCCCGUGAGAGCAUUGUGAAGGACUUCGCUGCACGCUGUGGGAUGAUCCUCCAGGAGGCCAUGAAGUGGGCACCUACCGUCACCAAGUCCCACCUGCAGGAAUAUCUGAACAAACAUCAGAACUGGGUAUCGGGACUGUCCCAGCACACGGGGCUGGCCAUGGCCACUGAGAGCAUCCUUCACUUUGCUGGCUACAACAAGCAGAACACAACUCUUGGGGUAUGUGCGAGCCUUCUGAAGAGCAGUGACCCCUUAGACCAUAGGAGCCACAGUGCAGGGGAAGGCUUAGAGCUCGGCUGUCGCUUUUCAUGACGCACA